rnacentral:misc_RNA from 1 species
GGAAAGGAGAAGGCGUGUGUGAUGCGUGUAUAUAAGUUCGUUCACUUCUUCAACACGACGUAGUGGGGGGCAACAGACUCACCUGCGGACUCUUUUUUGUUUUAUUUAAUUAAUUAUUAUUUUUUAAAUCGGCGAUCGGAGGCCGGAGCCAAGGUUUUGACAGAUUUAUUGAGAGAACUGGUUGGGAUUGGAUCUUGGAGAUCUCUGCUAGGAAGUAUCCUUCACAAUUCUGCGGCUUCAUCAUUAUUUUCUUUGCAGAAAAGCAGCGAAGCUACUCAAGUGGAAGACUUCCUUUUGCUCUGCUCUAUACUUUUUGUCUGAUUGGAGUGUUGGAUCUUUUAGCGGGACUGCUUCAUGCGAUUGGGCUAUAAUGGCAUUGAAAACUAAUUCAGCUGAUAGUAGAACUAGGAGUUCUAUACAAAUUUUUAUUGUAGUUGGCCUAUGCUGUUUCUUCUAUAUAUUGGGCGCAUGGCAGAGGAGUGGAUUUGGGAAGGCAGAUAAUCUUGCAAUGGAGAUCACGAAGAAUACUGGAGACUGCAAUUUAAUCCCAAGUCUAAAUUUUGAGACCCAUCAUGGUGGUGAAAUUGAGACUCUAAAUGAUUCUGAAUCAAAACCUAAAGAGUUCAAGCCUUGUGAUCCGGGUUACACUGAUUACACACCCUGCCAAGAUCAGAGGCGUGCUAUGACUUUUCCUAGGGAAAAUAUGAUUUAUCGAGAGAGGCAUUGUCCUAUGGAGGAAGAGAAGCUACAUUGCCUAAUUCCGGCACCCAAGGGCUAUGUUACUCCGUUUCCUUGGCCUAAGAGUCGUGACUAUGUACCGUUUGCUAAUGCACCAUAUAAGAGCUUGACAGUUGAGAAGGCUAUUCAGAAUUGGGUCCAAUAUGAGGGCAAUGUAUUUAGGUUUCCAGGUGGGGGAACUCAGUUUCCACAAGGGGCAGAUAAGUAUAUUGAUCAGCUAGCUUCAGUAAUACCGAUUGCUAAUGGGACUGUCAGAACUGCCCUGGACACUGGUUGUGGGGUUGCCAGUUGGGGUGCAUACCUUUGGAGUAGAAAUGUUAUUGCCAUGUCGUUUGCACCGAGAGACUCGCAUGAAGCACAGGUUCAGUUUGCUCUUGAAAGAGGUGUACCUGCUGUUAUUGGUGUUCUUGGUACUAUAAAAAUGCCAUACCCUUCUAGAGCCUUUGACAUGGCUCACUGCUCUCGAUGCUUAAUUCCGUGGGGAGCAAAUGAUGGAAUGUAUCUGAAGGAAGUUGACCGAGUUCUUAGACCUGGUGGUUACUGGGUGCUUUCCGGACCUCCAAUCAAUUGGAAGAAUAGUUACAAAGCAUGGCAGCGGCCCAAGGAGGAACUUCAGGAGGAACAGAGAAAGAUUGAAGAAGUUGCUAAGCUUCUUUGCUGGGACAAGAAGUAUGAGAAGGGUGAAAUGGCCAUAUGGCAAAAGAGAGUAAAUGCUAAAUCUUGUCCUGGUAGACGAGAUGAUUCUCAAGUUACUCUUUGCCAAGCUGCGGACCCAAAUGAUGUGUGGUACAAGAAAAUGGAGGGAUGCAUUACUUCAUAUCCUGAUGUUAGUAGUCGAGAUGAAGUUGCUGGUGGGGAAUUGAAGGCAUUUCCAGACAGGCUUUUUUCUGUCCCCCCGACAGUUGCCAGUGGCUUUGUUCCUGGAGUUUCUGUUGAGACAUACCAGGAGGACAACAAUAAUUGGAAAAAGCAUGUAAACUCUUACAGGAAAAUCAAUAAGCUUAUUGAUUCUGGAAGGUAUCGUAACAUUAUGGAUAUGAAUGCUGGGUUGGGAGGUUUUGCUGCUGCACUCGAGUCUUCCAAAUUAUGGGUUAUGAAUGUUGUGCCUACUAUAGCUGAAAAAAGUACAUUGGGUGUCAUAUAUGAGAGAGGAUUGAUCGGAAUAUAUCAUGACUGGUGUGAAGCUUUCUCCACAUACCCAAGGACAUAUGACCUUAUUCAUGCCAAUGGUGUUUUCAGUUUAUACAAGGACAAAUGUAACACAGAGGACAUUCUUCUUGAGAUGGAUCGAAUUCUGCGACCAGAAGGUGCGGUUAUAUUCCGUGAUGAAGUUGAUGUGCUUAUUAAGGUGCGGAAGAUAGUAGGUGGAAUGAGAUGGGAUACUAAAAUGGUGGACCAUGAAGAUGGUCCUCUAGUUCCUGAGAAGAUACUAGUCGCUGUGAAGCAGUACUGGGUUGCCGGCGGAAACUCCACAUCCUCACAGUGAUAGGAGAAUGGGAUUGGGUGAAACUCUGGAACAUGGGCGUUUGAGCUGGUAAAGUGGCGAUUCUACGUUAUACCGGGCCUGACAGGAACUGAUAACUAUUUAAGCAUGAGCAUCUUCUAUUGCAGAGUACUCUUUAGUCUCUAGCAUAGGCACACGAUAUAUACAUUUUAACUACAUUAUGAAUUGGCCAUCUUAUUUUGUAGCGGUAAUUUAUGAAUAGACGAAUGCCUGUAAGGUUUAUGAUAUCCAAUCAUCAAUUUUUUUUUUUCUUGGUCAAUUUUUGUAGGUUUACGUGGUUUGUCAAUCUACUGGAGGAUCAAGUUACAAAACAUGAUCGCAUGACAAAUAUUUUUCAUUUUAAAUCCUAACUUUUAUACAGGUGUUCAAUAUAACACCUCCAUUGAUUAUGGUUAAUUUUGUGUUAUGUUUGGAUGUAAUGAUUUUGAAAUAGGGACUUGAGUGUGAUUCAUUGUUUACUUGGUUGUAUUUAUUAAUAAAAGAUUUAUUAAUGUGAUCA